ensembl:lncRNA
AAAAAAUUAAAUCUUUUUUGUUUGGUUGUUUGGUGAUUUUUAUUGUUUUUUAUGACAAGGUUUCUCUGUGUAGCCCUUGCUAUCCCAGAACUUGCUCUGUAGACCAGGCUGGCCUUGAACUCACAGAGAUCCACCUGCCUCUGCCUCCCAAAGGCUAGGAUUAAGGGUGUGUAUCACCACCACUUGGCCCUAAAAUAAAUAAAUAAAUCUUAAAUAUAUAUAUACAUGUAUGUAUGUAUGUAUGUAUGGCUGGCUGGGUGGUGGUGUUGCAUACCUUUAAUCCCAGCCUUUGAGAGACAGAGGCAGGUGGAUCUCUGAGUUCAAGGUCAGCCUGGUCUACAGAGUGAGUUCCAGGACAGCCAAGGCUACACAGAGAAACCCUGUCUUGAAAAACCAAAAUAAUAAUGAUAACAAUAAUAAUUAUAACAAUAAAGAUACUUUUCCUGAUGCUGCAUUAGCUGGAGUGUCCAGGGGAGCAAACAACAGACAGUGCUCAUUGACUCUGACUCUCAUGCUAAGAGAAAUUCAUUCAUUCUCCCACAUUCUUCCCAAAGAUUUCCACACAAGUUGCUCCACAGUUUGAUGGUUUAAGUAUGAAGGACCCAUUUUAAUUCCAUUCUGUGCGUUUUGUGCCAGAGUCACAUAUGGUGCCCAUUCUUCAGGGUAUUCACUGCAAAUACAGCAGCCUCCAAUGAGAGGACAUUUUGGCCAGGAGCCUCUGGAGCACUUCUGCGUUGUUAGACCAGCGUCUCAGAUGUGAUAGAGAACACUGAGACAGAGAUUGCUCCCUAAGGUCACAGGACUUAUUCAGUGCAGUGGACAGGCGGGCAAAGAGAGAGACAGACAGCAUCAUGGCAGGGGGACUCUGAGGACAGUUCAGACCCCAGCUCUAGACACAGACAAUGUGGUGGUGUCUCUAAACCCAAGAACCAGAGCCCAGGAGGCAGCAGUGACAGAGGCGGCCCCUAUUGUAUCUUUCUGAGGAUAGAGAAGGUCCCACAGCACAAGCCUGCCAGCAGGCUCCAGCAGGAGGCAAGAAAAGGGUUGGGGAACCAGAUAUGUGGCCACUAGGAUGGAUUUUGAUGUAAAUUCACUUUCCAGGUGAGAGAUCCUGGCACCAGGAAGCCACCAGAUGCUAACACUAGUUCCUGCAGAGCCCUCCCUUAAACCAGGCACUGCAAUGUACUGUAGGCAAAGUCAAGGGUGAUGCUUAUCACAUCAAAUUGAAGAAAUUUAUAUGGUUUUCCUCAAACCCAUCUUUAUUGUGAAACCACCAUUGGGGACCUCUAGAUGUCAAGGGGUCCCAGCCAAUUCAAAUCUUCUAGAUGUUAUUUCUCUUUGGUUAGUGCUUUGUAGGAGAGAACGUACAUAUAUACACAGGAGGAGUGUGAAAGUCCAGGUGUGUGUGUGUGUGUGUGUAUGUGUGUGUGUAUGCAUGUGUGUGUGUGUGUGUGUGUGUGUGUGUGCAUGCAUGUGUGUGUAUGUGUGUAUGUGCAUGCAUGUGUGUGUGCAUGCAUGCAUGUGUGUGUGUGUGUGUGUGUGUGUACAUUGACAAGGGGGGAACGUGUGUGUGGGAAUGCACAUGCACAUGCACAUGUAAGCACAUGUAUAUUGAAGCCCUAAAUUGAUAUCAGGUGUCUUAUUUAGUUGUUCUUCACUGGAUUUAUCCAGGCAGGGUCUCUCACAGAACCCAGAACUUGUCAUUCCAGCUAGUCUGGCUGUUCAGCUUGCCCUGAGAAUCCCCUGUCCCUACCCACCCCAGUACUGGGCUGGCAAGUGACCACCACGCCUGUCUGCCUGUCUUUUAUGUGGUUUGGAGAUGUCCAAACUCUAGUCUUCACACUCCCACAACAGACAUCCUAUCCACUGAGCCAUCUUUCUGGCCCUCUUUUUUUUUUUUUUUUUUUACCACCUUACUUUUGAGAUUGGGUCUCUCACUGGGACUUGGAAUUCAUCCAUUUGACAGGACCUCAAAUCCUCUUAUCUCAACCUCAAUGCUAACACAUUACCAAGUGAACUAUCAUUCUAGCCCCAUGCUUAUUGUUUUUAAGUCACUAAAAAAGGAAAGUAGAAAGUACUAAGACACACAAACGAAUGUGUAGCAAAUAAAACGUUGAUGUUGUCCUUCACAUGGGUAGCAUUGUAUGGAUUUUAGGAAUUCCCAGAUAGUUUCUGGAUCCGGUUGCUGAGAUCCUGACAGCUUCUGAGUUGGAGAAGAGGGUCACAUCUGUUACACUAAUUGUGGCUGUUCAUGCCACUAUAUAAUUUCACAGCAUCUCAGCUUCAGACAGAAUGGCUUCCAUAAACAUACAGCAGACGGACACAACCCAGAUUUCUGCAGUUUAUUUUACACCAAGAAAUUACAUUUAGCAAUUUCCAGACACAUGCUAUAAAUGAAACUUCAACAGGAAGUUUCACUUCCUCUCCAUCUGACCUAUAUUUCAAAAAUCUGUGAGUGGGUCAUAACCAUGAGCAUCUCUUCCCCAUGCUGCCAUUAUUCAUUCUGUGCUUUCUGGAGAUUAUUUUUCUUCCCUGUGACUCAAAUGGCCACCAAGGGAACUGUAGUCACUGGGAGACUUUAUACAACCCCAAGAAAAAUGGCAAAUGUUACCAAUAGCAUGGCCAAAUUGUAUAGCUGUGGGUCACCUAGAUCCAUCAGGUUAGCCAGAAAAGGCAGGUCUCUUGCUCCUAGAAUGGACAUUGCUUUUAUAUCUACACAAUCUUAGGUUUUUUUUAACAUCUCAUGAUAUUAACAUGACUAUCUAAUGUAGUUGGCUCUGAGGAAAUGGUUCACUUAGAGUUUGGAUCCCCAGCACCCAAUUAAAAUUCCAGGCAUGGUAUCACAUUUGCAAUCCCAUUGUCGAGGAGGUGAAGAAAGGAAGACCCCUGGGGUUUGACAACCAGCCAGUCUAGACAAUCAGUUCACUUCAAGUCCAGUGAGAGACCCUGUCUCAAAACAUAAGGUAGACAGUGAUCAAAGAAUAUUGCCUGACAUCAACCUCUGACCUCCACAUGGAUGCACACAUACCUGUGUACACAUAUACACACACAAAUACGCAAACUCACAUGAAGAAAUAUCUUGUAUAUAGAAAAUACCUAUUGUUUGGAUGUAGGCCAAAAUUUAAAAUCAGGAUUAAGAUGCAGGGGCCCUUUAAUAACUGAUUAAGUCAUGAAGGGCCCGGCUCUCAUCAAGGAAAUCAACACCUGUGUGAAAAGACUCAGGGGAAUUAGAUGAGCUUUUGUCCUUCUGUCAUCUACCAUGUGAGCACAGAGUCCUUCUGGUGCUACUGUGUAAACAGCAAACAAGCCUUCACCACACACUGAAUCAGCUAGUAUGUUGGCCUUAACCUUGACCUCAACAGCUCUCCGAACUAUAAGAAAUAAAUCUAUGGUCUUCACUAACUUGUUUUGUUACAGCAACAUAAAUAUAAUAAGUAUUGUUCAUGUUUGGGAGAAAGGUGCCAUUUCAGACCCUUCUUCAAUAAGGUAAGAAUCAUAUAUACCAGUUUAUGUAUACUUUAACUCCAGGCAACAAAAAAUAUGGGGCAUUUCCACAUCCCUUACUGGCAUCUUAGGAGCUUCAGGACUCAGAAAUAGGUCUGACAUUGUUCCAAAAUGCACAUGUGUAGUUUUGUGCCUGCAAAAAAAAGAAGUGCUUACAGUUCUCCAUUCCUUCUCAGAGUGGCCUCCACCUCCACCUUGAGGUCAGUGGAUCAGGAACUUCUAAGUGAAACAACCAUAGUCCCCCUUUUUGUAAAUCAGGUGCCACUGGACAGGAAGGGAAGCUGGAAGCUUACUUAUGUAGUAAAUAAGUUUAUUUCAUUUAAGAAAUGAAAGUUCAAGGGUAACUAGAUGCAGAAAUAAGGGUGCUACAGGUGCUGGCAGUCUCUAGCAAGAAUUUAAAAUUUCUGUGGCUUCUAGAAGACAGACAAGAUAAAUGGCUAAGUGGAAAAAUGAGGAAAAUAAAGGGUUGAUGAGUGCAAAUCCUGUGCCUAUUCUAUUUUUACCUUAUUUUUGUUUAAGAUAAGGUCUCACCAGGUUGGCCUCAAACUCAGAGAGGUCCACCUGCCUCUGCCUUCCAAAUGGUGAGAUUAAAGGUGUCACCAUGUUAAUUUUCAAAAAAAUGGAAACACUGAAUAAUAUCUAGCUGUAGAGAGCUGCGUGGAGCCGCGCUUUAAAGAUGGCGCUGGCUCCCGCCCUCCGCGAUCCCGAAAGCCAGCGCUCUCUUCGAAAAACAACUCCAUAUAUGGCUAAGGCCAGAUGAUCGUAAGCGCUUGCGUAUGUGUUGGACCUAUGGACGGUGCCCACGUAGCAAUCCAGCGUUGGUGGUCCAUGCCUAUUUAAGGGCUGGGAGAGGCUUGCCCGAGGAGAGAGAUCGCUGUUCAAGGUUCUGAAUAAACUGCUUGCAAGAAGAGCUCCGGUGUUGCGUCAUUCUUGCUGGUCCAGGCGGUCGCGGCAUCUAGCAAUUGGCUAGACAAUGGUAGCACAUGUGUUUAAUCCCAGCAUUUAGGAGGCAGAGGCAGGCAGAUCUCUGUGAGUUCAAGGCCAGCCUGGUCUACUGAGUGAGUUCCAGGACAGCCAGGACAACACAGAGAAACCCUGUCUUGGGGGAAAAAAGUAGCAGUUGGUGAACACGAUGUCUCAGUCAAGCUAGACUUUUUUUUCUUCUUUUCCCAUCAUUUUUCUUUUGGUCUAUGCCUGUGUGUGUGUUGUACAAGUAUUGUGUUUGCAUGCUUUUCCAUGUGUGUAGGCACAGGGUGCAUACAGGUGUGAUUGUACUAAUGCAUGGAGACCCGAUAUUAGUGUUUGGAAUCAUUCUUGAUCAUUCUUCCUCCUUAUUCUGCAGUCUCAGUAAGCCAAGUGGUGUUGGCACACACUUUUAAUCCCUGCAUUUAUGAGGCAGAGACAGGCAGAUCUUUGUGAGUUCCAGGUCAGCCUGGUCUACAGAGCAAGUUCCAGGAUAGCCAAGCAUGCACAGAGAAACCCUGUCUUGAAAAAACAAAAUAAUAAUAAUAGCAAUAAUCCCAGUAGCAGUUUGUCCUGGAGGUCCCCUGUUCCUGCUUUCCAGGGCCAGAAGUACAGACAGGCCACCCAGCAUUUACGUGGGUUUCUGGGGAUCUGAUAAUAAAAUUGAGAAAACAGAUCUCUUUACAAUGAUGUCUCACCAUUUUGGCUUCUUUUGUCCCAAAAUUUUUUAUUAACAUACACACACAUCACACAUAUGUGUGGUGUGUAUGUGUGUGUGCAACAUGCAUUCUUAUCACAACUGAUGAAAGGAUUCUGGAUUUAGACUGGUCUACCUAGAAUUUAAGUUUUGCUCACUUGUUUAUGUUCAUGAUGCAAGUACACAGACUCUCUGGGCUACUUCCCAGCCCAUAGAACAGUAAUAAUUUUUUUUAAAUACCUUAUGGGGACUUCAUGAUAUUUAAAUUUGAUAUGUAUCAAAUGUUACCCCAGAGCCUGGAAUAAUGAAUUCUCAUCUAAUGGUCUGGAAUGACUCUGAAGUCUAUAUCUUGCUACCAACGAAGCACUUGUAAACAGAAAUUCAUUUAGGAGAUCAGAGGAGAUCCCAAGCAGGGUUUUAUCUAUUAGAACUAAUAAUAAUUGCUUGUCCCAGUGACAGUUUUUCUAGAAUAGCAUCUCCAGUAUUCAAAUACCGACCCAUCUGUAGACACUCAUAAUAAAUACACGGUUCUAUUAAGUCUGUGUUUUUAUUUUGGUUUUUUUUUGUUUGUUUGUUUGUUUUGUUUUUUGACAGGAUUUCUCUGUGUAGCCCUGGCUGAUCUGGAACUUGCUCUGCAGCCCAGGCUGGCCUCAAACUCACAGAGAUCUGCCUACCUCUGCUUCCUGAGUGCUGGAAUUAAAGGUAUGUGCCACCUCCAUCCAGCUAAGUCUGUUGCUUUUUAAUAAGAAGAUCUUUGGGUUUACAUUUCCAAGUGGGUAAGGAAUAGAGAAAUAGUCCCUCUGAAAGAGAUAACAAGAGGAGGCCUACUUUGAAUUUGAAAUCAGAGUAUGUGAGAUUAGUAUCAGUCUUCAAUAAAGAUAUUAAAAUCUAUUAUGGUUAAAUUCUACUAAGACAGAAAUGGAUUUUAAGGUGUACCAUUUGAGGCAGAGAUUCCACCAACUCUAGAUUACACACCCAGGAAAGGAAGUCUUGUAAUGGGUCCUACAGACCAAUUUAUAAUGUUAAAACCCAUCCGGGUGCUCAGUCGGUAAAGUGCUUGCUUUGCCAACGUGGGCUUCUAAGUAUGACUGCCAGAACACAAGUAAAGAAGCUGGGGAGUGUGGCAUGUACUUGUAAUCCCAGCACUAAUGAUGUGAACACAGGUGUGUCCCUGGGGCUCACUGACCACCAGACUAGACCACUUGGUCAACUCCAGGCCAGUGAGAGACCCUAUCUCAAAAAUAAACAAGAUGUGGACCAGUGAGAUGGCUCAGCAGGUGAAGACACUUGCUAUCAAGCCUGACAACCCUAGUUCCAUCCCAGGGAUCCAUAUAGUUAAAGGAUUGACUCCCAAAAGUUGUCCUGUGUGUGUGUGUGUGUUUGUGUGUGUGUGUGUGUGUGUGUGUGUGUGUGUGUGUGUGUGUGUGUGUGUGUGUGUGUGAUAAAUAAAUCACUUUUUAUAGAGAAAAAUAAACAUGUAGAUGGCACCAGAAGAACAGCACCCAAGGUUGAUUUCUGGCCUCCAUAUAUAUCCACACACAUGAGCACCUGCCCAUAUAAAUAUGCACAAAGAAAUAAAAUACCUGAAAAAAUGUUUAAAUUAUACCAGAGCUAACAUGUGGGUUUGAGUUUAGCUAGGUAGCAGUAUAUAAAAUCAAAACUAAACAUUAAUUAUUUUAAAAGGAAACCGUGCCACUUUGGAGUGACAUUCUUGACUUAGUUUGCUUGUGGGGCUGACUUUCCUUGGGCAAGUUGCAUUCAUUGACUACACAAUUGGUUGGAUCAUGUGGUAGUAUUUGAGGGUAAUGCCUUACUCUAGCACAUCUGACUAAGUACAUUUCGUCAUAGUCUGGAGAAAACAGACCCUUGCAAAGGCUGUGCAAAUCUUCAUCAACCAGAGGAAAAUCGUUCUCAUAUUCAGUCUGAUGCCUUGGUUCCAGGUCUAUAGCUGGAAGUUUCUGUCCCAACCAGUCCCGCAGCCGUUUAGUCCUAAAUAAAUACACUGAGGCUUAUAUUAAUUACAAACUGUUUGGCUGAUGGCUUAGGAUUCUUACUGGAUAGCUCUCUCUUAAUUAUUAACCCAUAACUAUUAAUCUAUGUAUUUCCACAUGGCCUUAUCUUACCAGAGAAUGCCCAGGCGUCCUACCUUCCCAGUAGCUACAUGGCAUCUCUCAGGCAACUCACUUGCUCCCUUCCUCUUCCCGGCAUUCUCUUAGUCUGGUAGCCCCACCUAUACUUCCUGCCAGGCUAAAUCCUGCCUAUCCAUUGGCCAAAACAUUUUUAUUCAUCAACCAAUAAGAGAAACAUAUAUUCACAGAACACAGAAGGACAUCUCCCAUCACAGGACUCUUGCUACUUACGUCAAAACCCCAGUCUGUCCUGAACUCAGGGACACACCCUUGACCCUGUCAUACCAGAUGGUCACCUCUCUGAAACCACAGGCCUGGAGCUUCCUACCUUCUGAUCAGCUCACAUCCGGUCUCUCCUCCAGCAGAUCACCCCAAUCCACUUCACCCAGAAGAAAAGAGAAGCACCUAGAAGAGGAUGCCAGUCAGAUCCUUCACCAAAGCUGCAUGCCCACCCGCUUCCCUUUUGUCUCUUUCCUAAAGACUCUCCCCAUCAGCAUUAAGCACGUCGCAUUUUCACUCCUUGGUUUCCUUCGUUACAGCUUGAAUAGGAAAAGUCCCCCAUAGGGUCAGGUGCUGUUCUGUGUCCUAACUCUGAACCCAUGAAUAUCCUACUGUGGCUACUUGAAGAGGAGCAGCUUAUACAGAAAGGCAGAUUGCAGGUGGGAACCACCAUAGCCAACUAUGAGGUCAAUGUUUUAUCGUCCUGAAGGACAUGGACACCAGUGGCUGAGUGAGGAAAACCACUCAGUGUCCUAGUAAAGACGCCAGCUAAGCCCUGUCUUAAAGGAACCUGUCAGUGCGCAGCGCUUCUCUGCCUCCUCAGAGCCACAGCUCCACCUGGGAUGCUCAUGGAGUUCCUCUCACAUCCGCCAUCUUGGGAUCUGGCUCUGAAACUCCACAACAGGGAGAAACAGUCUCCCUUGUGAAAGAACCCUCCCUGGUUGCACUCACUUGGAGGGCCAACAACACGAGCUUUCUGGAGCCUUAAAUGUCACACACUGUGUCCUAAACUCUUUCAGUUCACACACAAAGCCCUCUUCCUCCUCAGGCAUGAAUCGUGCUACCCGAGUGGGAAUGGCCUCAUUCCAGAAACAGCCCAGGUUCAUCCUUGUCUCCAGCAAAAACAUUUCUUUAGAAAGUUUUUUUUUUUUUUUUUUUUUUUUUUUUUAUGGGAUUGGAAAUGUUCUGUUCUGUUCUUCUCAGGAAGAUUGCUUCCAAUUCCAGCAACAGACAGAGAUUUUAUGGAAAUGGGAGCAGCAGUUAGAACCCCUCAGAGCACAUUUUCAGUCAGGCAUCCAUAUCCUCCGACAUGAGAGAAACCUGAGACUUGAUCACCAGGGCGGGCACAUCACUGCUUUAUUCCAGCCUGAAAAUUUUAAAUAAAGGAAGAGAUGUCUUCAGUAAAACACCACAAGUGUUUUGUUC